UACGAAGGGAGCUAGCGUUGUUCGGAAUUACUGGGCGUAAAGCGUGCGCAGGCGGCGCCGCAAGUCAGGCGUGAAAUCCCCGAGCUUAACUUGGGAAUGGCGCUUGAAACUACGGUGCUGGAGUGUGGCAGAGGGAGGUGGAAUUCCACGUGUAGCGGUGAAAUGCGUAGAGAUGUGGAGGAACACCGAUGGCGAAGGCAGCCUCCUGGGCCAACACUGACGCUCAUGCACGAAAGCGUGGGGAGCAAACAGG
rnacentral:rRNA from 1 species